AAGUCGUAACAAGGUUUCCGUAGGUGAACCUGCGGAAGGAUCAUUAAUGAAUGAAUGUAGAGUAGGUUGUAGCUGGCCUCCCUGAGGCAUGUGCACGCCUUCUCUUUCAUCCACACACCCCUGUGCACUUGUGAGACGGAGACGUUUUCCUUUAAUCGGGAUGGGUCUCCGUCUACUAUCACAUAAAAUCUAAUUUAUUUAAAACUGAAUGUAAUUGAUGUAACGCAUCUAAUACAAAGUUUCAGCAACGGAUCUCUUGGUUCUG
rnacentral:misc_RNA from 1 species